rnacentral:rRNA from 1 species
AGUUUGAUCCUGGCUCAGAUUGAACGCUGGCGGCAUGCUUUACACAUGCAAGUCGAACGGUAACAGGUUAAGCUGACGAGUACGGAUUAUAGCUUGCUAUAAUUGUCAGCUAAGUGGCGCACGGGUGAGUAAUAUAUAGGUAAUAUGCCUCUUACUAAGGGAUAAUUGUUGGAAACGACUUGUAAUACCUUAUAUGCCUUUUGAACAUAAGUUCGUAAAGGGAAAGAUUUAUCGGUAAGAGAUUAGCCUGUACGGUAUCAGAUAGUUGGUGGGGUAAUGGCCUACCAAGUCUAUGACACCUAACUGGUUUGAGAGGAUGAUCAGUCACACUGGAACUGAGACACGGUCCAGACUCCUACGGGAGGCAGCAGUGGGGAAUAUUGCACAAUGGAGGAAACUCUGAUGCAGCAACGCCGCGUGGAGGAUGACACAUUUCGGUGCGUAAACUCCUUUUAUAUGAGAAGAUAAUGACGGUAUCAUAUGAAUAAGCACCGGCUAACUCCGUGCCAGCAGCCGCGGUAAUACGGGGGGUGCAAGCGUUACUCGGAAUCACUGGGCGUAAAGAGCAUGUAGGCGGGUGAAUAAGUUGGAAGUGAAAUCCUAUAGCUUAACUAUAGAACUGCUUCCAAAACUGUUCACCUAGAGUAUGGGAGAGGUAGAUGGAAUUUCUGGUGUAGGGGUAAAAUCCGUAGAGAUCAGAAGGAAUACCGAUUGCGAAGGCGAUCUACUGGAACAUUACUGACGCUCAGAUGCGAAAGCGUGGGGAGCAAACAGGAUUAGAUACCCUGGUAGUCC